UACGAAGGGAGCUAGCGUUGUUCGGAAUUACUGGGCGUAAAGGGCUUGUAGGCGGCCAACUAAGUCAUACGUGAAAUCCCUCGGCUUAACCGGGGAACUGCGUCUGAUACUGGAUGGCUUGAGAUUGGGAGAGGGAUGCGGAAUUCCAGGUGUAGCGGUGAAAUGCGUAGAUAUCUGGAGGAACACCGGUGGCGAAGGCGGCAUCCUGGACCAACACUGACGCUGAGGAGCGAAAGCCAGGGGAGCAAACGGG
rnacentral:rRNA from 1 species